AUGCGACCCCAGGAUGGGCGAGGCCACCCGCCGAGU
rnacentral:rRNA from 1 species